UAUAAGGAUGUGGGUUUGAGGGAAAAGGAGUUGUAGGAGGAAACUCAUUCCUCUUUGCGAUGCAACUGUCUCUGUUUGAGAGUGCGACGACAACGUCGUUCUCUUCACGACAGUGGAGUUGCGACUUCUUCACAGGUUUCAAAGAGGGUUUCCUUCCACGUCCCUUGAUCUUAAGUGCUGCUGUGAAGAAGAAGAGUUCUAAGUAAGGGAAGCUAGAC
rnacentral:sRNA from 1 species